rnacentral:rRNA from 1 species
GUCUAUGGCCAUACAACCCUGAACGUGCCUGAUCUCAUCUGAUCUCAGAAGCUAAGCAGGGUCGAGCCUGGUUAGUACUUGGAUGGGAGAUAGAAUCUCUCACAGGGCCACUCGUUAGGCUAGGCUGGCUGGAUA